CCCCUUUUAGUUGGCUCACAAUUUCCAUAAAUAAUUGAAGUAAUAUCCACGGUUCUCUCUUCCUUCCCUUUUUCCCUCUUACAGGCUUAGAACAUGGCUUCCAGUUAUUUGAAUUUGCACCUUUAUACCAGUGGAUAGUGCAAGUACUGUUUGCUUCUUGAAUCUCCACAACUUGUGCAACAUGCGGCCAUUCGUUGCAAAAUUCUUUUAAAUUCAGCAGAACCAUUUCCCCGACUGUCACAGAACCAUUACUUUUCAAGGUACUGGUUUUCUUUCUUCCAUUAAUGAUCCUCCCC
rnacentral:lncRNA from 1 species